rnacentral:rRNA from 1 species
CCCUUAGAUGUCCUGGGCCGCACGCGCGCUACACUGACAUGUUCAACAAGCCUCCUAGUUCGACAGGAUUUGGGAAAUCUUUGAACGCAUGUCGUGAUAGGGAUAGAUCAUUGCAAUUAUUGAUCUUGAACGAGGAAUUCCUAGUAAACGCGAGUCAUCAGCUCGCAUUGAUUACGUCCCUGCCCUUUGUACACACCGCCCGUCGCACCUACCGAUUGAGUGAUCCGGUGAAUGAUUCGGACCAGCGUGCUGCUCAGAUCCUGCGCAGUGUGCUGGGAAGUCUAGUGAACCUUAUCACUUAGAGGAAGGAGAAGUCGUAACA